rnacentral:lncRNA from 1 species
CCUCCUUCCUUCUGCCCUGCAGCAGCAGGGAGCUGACAUAAACACUGGCCAUACAUGGGCCCGAAGAGGCAACAGGAAUGUUCCCCCCGCAUGAUCCACACAGAGGGCCUGGUGAAGUCCUCGGUGCCCACCCACCGAGAAGGCCGGACUGAGACACACGCA